GAUGUUCUGAGAUUGAUUCUACAACAUUACCGAAUUCUUGGGUUGUGAGUGUGCUCUUUUAUUUUCUGAGAAUGAAGUCGCGGUGUUAGAUAAUGGUGUUGCAAACUGAGAGCUGUUUUCAUCUGCAAGUCUUUUCCAAAACCAUUACAUACAUGGAUUUGAAGGUUGUAGUAGCAUGGCGUGUUCGUCGCAGGAGAGCCGCUUGCCGAGUGACAAUCUGAUCCGGCUGUCGGUAGAUUUUGACCAUUAUGCUUCUCAAUCGAUAUCUGAUCGAUCAAAUGUGGCCUUUGUUUCAGUGCAAGUGAGUGCGGAGGUUUUGAAGGAGCCAACAGUCAUUGAGGUUGGUGUCUCAAGCUUCGGAAGGUUGGAUGACAGAGGCUGAAAAAUUGUUGUGUCGAUGGAGCGGGAAGAGAGUAGUGGUCAGGGUCAUAUUUUUGUAACUACGGAGUGGAAUCUGUUGAGGCUUACAGCUACAAGCAAAGGCUAGAGAAGAAGAGGCAGGGUAGUGCAAUUAUUUCCAAAUGCUAAGAUUGUGCUUCUCCAAUAAGGAUGACGUUCAAUCUUGCACUGAAUUUUUCAAAUAGACCUUGCUCCUAGGAUUUGGUGAAUAUGUCGGCUACUCUGUAAAGGGCAUAUAAAUCAAAUCAAACUUUCUUCUUCCAUUUCUAU